GAUGAACGCUGGCGGCGUGCUUAACACAUGCAAGUCGAACGAUGAAGCCCAGCUUGCUGGGUGGAUUAGUGGCGAACGGGUGAGUAACACGUGAGUAACCUGCCCUUGACUCUGGGAUAAGCCUGGGAAACUGGGUCUAAUACUGGAUAUGACUUCUCAUCGCAUGGUGGGGGGUGGAAAGAUUUAUUGGUCUUGGAUGGACUCGCGGCCUAUCAGCUUGUUGGUGAGGUAAUGGCUCACCAAGGCGACGACGGGUAGCCGGCCUGAGAGGGUGACCGGCCACACUGGGACUGAGACACGGCCCAGACUCCUACGGGAGGCAGCAGUGGGGAAUAUUGCACAAUGGGCGCAAGCCUGAUGCAGCGACGCCGCGUGAGAGAUGACGGCCUUCGGGUUGUAAACCUCUUUCAGUAGGGAAGAAGCGAGAGUGACGGUACCUGCAGAAGAAGCGCCGGCUAACUACGUG
rnacentral:rRNA from 1 species